UACGUAGGGUGCAAGCGUUGUCCGGAAUUAUUGGGCGUAAAGAGCUCGUAGGCGGUCUGUCGCGUCUGCUGUGAAAACCUGGGGCUUAACCCCGGGCCUGCAGUGGGUACGGGCAGACUAGAGUCGUGGUAGGGGAGACUGGAAUUCCUGGUGUAGCGGUGAAAUGCGCAGAUAUCAGGAGGAACACCGGUGGCGAAGGCGGGUCUCUGGGCAACAACUGACGCUGAGGAGCGAAAGCAUGGGGAGCGAACAGG
rnacentral:rRNA from 1 species